CUCCCCGUUGCUGACCCCAGGCUCGAUAGCCGCCAAUUAGGCGCCACCUCGCCUAAGAACCAGCUUCGGUGAAGCGACGGGCGGUGUGUGCAAGGACG
rnacentral:rRNA from 1 species